rnacentral:rRNA from 1 species
GAUGAACGCUAGCGGCAGGCUUAAUACAUGCAAGUCGAGGGGCAGCAGGACGGUAGCAAUACCGUUGCUGGCGACCGGCAAACGGGUGCGGAACACGUACGCAACCUACCCAUAACUGGUGAAUAGCCCUCCGAAAGGAGGAUUAAUACACCGUAACCUCAUUGAGUGGCAUCACUUGAUGAGUAUAGCUCCGGCGGUUAUGGAUGGUCGUGCGCCUGAUUAGGUAGUUGGCGGGGUAACGGCCCACCAAGCCUGCGAUCAGUAACUGGUGUGAGAGCACGACCAGUCACACGGGCACUGAGACACGGGCCCGACUCCUACGGGAGGCAGCAGUAAGGAAUAUUGGUCAAUGGACGCAAGUCUGAACCAGCCAUGCCGCGUGAAGGAUGAAGGUCCUCUGGAUUGUAAACUUCUUUUAUAGGGGAAGAAAUCUGAAUAUUCCUAUUCAGUUGACGGUACCCUAGGAAUAAGCACCGGCUAACUCCGUGCCAGCCGCCGCCGUAACAC